ACCAUUCUGAACAACCAUCAUUUUAUUAAAUACCAAUUGACUGAUACUUCCCAGCUUCAGGUAUUAAGUGAUACAUCAGGGUGCUUGACAAGCACGUAGAAGGUAAGCCUCUAUAUCUGUGUGUUAGAUACCAGAGGUGAGUCUGUUUCCUGGCUAUAUUAAAGGAAAUAGCAGUUACUCAGAAAGAAUUCGGAAAUAAAUACCCAAGGGAAACAGCAGAAAUAAGACCUGCCCCUUCUGAGCCUUCGGUCCUCCCUGCCCCCCAAAAAGCUGCUCAGCAUUAGCAUUAUCUUCGCAGAUUUAGCUUGUUGCUCAUGCCAUAAAUCCACUUUUAAGUGUAUUCUUUCUUUUAUGUUAGCAGUAUUCUCUCCAGGGUUUAUGCCUACAGUGGAGUGCUUUUGUCUGACUGCUCAGUGUGCAAUAAAUGACUAAGAUAUGUGCUUUUUUUCUCUUUGAAAGUG
rnacentral:lncRNA from 1 species